UACGGGGGGGGCAAGCGUUGUUCGGAAUUACUGGGCGUAAAGGGCUCGUAGGCGGCCAACUAAGUCCGACGUGAAAUCCCCAGGCUUAACCUGGGAACUGCGUCCGAUACUGGACGGCUUGAGUUUGGGAGAGGGAUGCGGAAUUCCAGGUGUAGCGGUGAAAUGCGUAGAGAUCCGGAGGAACACCGAAGGCGAAGGCAGUGUCCUGGCGCGUAACUGACGCUGAGGUGCGAAAGCCAGGGGAGCGAACGGG
rnacentral:rRNA from 1 species